UACGAAGGGGGCUAGCGUUGCUCGGAAUCACUGGGCGUAAAGGGUGCGUAGGCGGGUUUUUAAGUCAGGGGUGAAAUCCUGGAGCUCAACUCCAGAACUGCCUUUGAUACUGAAGAUCUCGAGUCCGGGAGAGGUGAGUGGAACUGCGAGUGUAGAGGUGAAAUGCGUAGAUAUCUGGAGGAACACCGGUGGCGAAGGCGGCAUUCUGGACCAAUAUUGACGCUGAGGAGCGAAAGCCAGGGGAGCAAACGGG
rnacentral:rRNA from 1 species